AGCAGCCGCGGUAAUUCCAGCUCCAAUAGCGUAUAUUAAAGUUGCUGCAGUUAAAAAGCUCGUAGUUGAAUUUCGGGACCAUCAUGUCGGUCGUGCCUCGGUACGUACUGGCAUUGUUGGUUUCUACCUUCUGAAGAACCUCGAUGUCAUUAAUUUGGUGUCUUGGGGAAUCAGGACUGUUACUUUGAAAAAAUUAGAGUGUUUAAAGCAGGCUCGCGCUUGAAUACAUUAGCAUGGAAUAAUGAAAUAGGACGUUUGAUUCUAUUUUGUUGGUUUCUAGGAUCGACGUAAUGAUUAAUAGGGAUAGUUGGGGGCAUUAGUAUUCAAUUGUCAGAGGUGAAAUUCUUGGAUUUAUUGAAGACUAACUACUGCGAAAAGCAUUUGCCAAGGAUGUUUUCAUUAAUCAAGAACGAAAUUAGGGGAUCGAAGACGAUCAGAUACCGUCGUAGUCUUAACCAUAAACUAUGCCGA
rnacentral:rRNA from 1 species